UGUUUGAAAACGAAUAGUUAGUUUUAUUACUACACUUCCAAAUUGAAAAAUGUUUAAAUGAGUGACAGCUUUAUACAAAUUGACUUACAUUAUAACAUGCACGGAUAAUCGUGUUUUCUCAACUGACAAUUCACUUGACAUUGACAAGCAUCGCGUACGCGCAUGAUUCAGUGAAUUUAGUGAACAUACAAACUAAGUCGAAGAAAAAUACUGAUUUGCUGUGUGAACUAAAGGAAAUGCCACCCAAAAUGUAAGUUUCUCUAAUUUAUUUAUAGAAAAAGUUAUAGUUCGUUUGAUCAUUAACUGGUUUUGUCAUGAAUAUGUUUAAUUUCAGACGAUGCUUCGGCGCACAAGAAAAUGCUAGCCAAAUAUAUAUAACUCAGCAUCCCCUGUUCGCCUACACCUACAGGGAGAUCCAUGAGCCUCUCGGAAGCCAGAGAUACAAAAUGCAAUGCUUCACAUUGCACAUAACUUCUAAGAUCCAGAAGAAAGGAUUGAAGAUGGUCCGUCGGGCCUGGGCAUUAUGAUCAUCGAGGGGCGGCACACGGAAGCCGGCCGAGGAAUCUUCGUCUCCGACUUACAAGAAGGCAGCGCUGCCGAACAGUCAUGACAUAUUGGAGGCUUGAAAGUGCACAUACCCAUACAUUGGACGUUAAGCUCAACGAGACCAUGCGAUGCAUCUCAGGCACUAUCCGAUCUACAACCGCCACUGGCUGCCGGCAUUGAGUCACAUUGCCCCUCCUCACAUCCGACGACUCAAGGCGUUGAAGAGGGAGGCUGAGAAUAUCACGAAUAACCCCACCCUGACCCUGUGCUACAGCUGGGAGCCUGAGCAGCUUUAAUAUUUCGGAUAGGUGGA